UGAUGACAGUCUCCGGAAUCUCUGCACGGCCUUGAUGAAAGUGCACUGAACCCUUGUCCGUCUGACGGCCGGGCGCGCGCU
ensembl:snoRNA SNORD68 small nucleolar RNA, C/D box 68